AGCAGCAGCAACAACUACAGUACCAGCUGCAACAACCAUAGCAGCACCUUCAACAACUGCAGCAGCAGCAACUACAGUACCAGCUGAAACAACUACAGCAGCAUCCGCAACAACUACAGUGGUAGCCACAACAACUACAGCCAACCCAACAACAACUGCAGUGGCAGCGACCACCACAGCAUGCCCCAGCCACAACUACAGCAGCUCUAACAACUACAGCUGCACCCGCAGCAACUACAGUAGCAGCCGCUACAACUACAGUAGCAGCUGCUACAACUACAGUGGUAGCCGCAACAACUACGGUACCAGCCGCAACAACUACAGUAAACCCGACAACAACAGCAGCAACCACAACAACUGCAGGAGCAGCAGCCACCACAGAUGCCCCAGCCACAACUACAGCAGCUCUAACAACUACAGCUGCACCUGCAACAACUACAGUAGCAGCCGCAACAACUACAUUGGUAGCCACACCAACUACAGCUGCAAUAACUACAGUAGCAGCAGCAACAGCUGCAGCAGCAGCAACCACCACAAAUGCCCCAGCCACAACUACAGCAGCUCUAACAACUACAGCUGCACCCGCAGCAACUACAGUAGCAGCCGCUACAACUACAGUAGCAGCUGCUACAACUACAGUGGUAGCCGCAACAACUACGGUACCAGCCGCCUCAACUACAGUAAACCCGACAACAACAGCAGCAACCACAACAAUUGCAGGAGCAGCAGCCACCACAGAUGCCCCAGCCACAACUACAGCAGCUCUAACAAAUACAGCUGCACCUGCAACAACUACAGUAACAACCUCAACAGUAGCAGCCGCAACAACUACAGUGGUAGCCACAACAACUACAGUACCAGCUGCAACAACUACAGUAGCACCGUCAACAACCACGAACACCCCACAAAUAACCACAGCACCUACAACAACAUCAUCCGCAACAAUGACAAUUGCUGCUGCAACAACACCAACCGCACCGGCAACAACAGCCAACCCAACAACAAUAUCAGCAGCCGCAAUGACAACAGCAGCUCCGUCUACAUUUGCAACAACAACCACCACCACAGCUUCCUCUGCAGUCAUCAACAGGACAAGUUUCUAUUUAGUUGUUGCAGUUGUUACAGCAGUUCUGUGGAAUUAUUAAGUGGACUGGAACAAGAGACUAAGAAGAACCCACAUUUACAUGUUGUACACAUAGUGAGUUAUUUACGAACUUGAUGGAUUGUAAGGAACGUAAUUUAUUAUCCUUAUUGUAACUUAUUAACCUGUUAUUUAUUUCAUAUAUUUAUAAUGUUAUGAUAUUUUAACUAUCACUUUUGUUCUUUUCUCAAAGCUAUUGUAUGACCCUGGUGAUAAUCUGUAACUAUUUGGGAUUGAAGUACACUGAGAAGCUCUGUGUUUAUUCUGCUGACAUAACAUGAGCAUAAAUAUAACUGUUUUUACAAAUGCACCUGGUAAUAACAUGAAAGACUCUCAAAGGUUGUACGUAGUUUGUGUUUUAUGGCACUACUUUUUAAUUGUUUAUCGAGUCUGCUUACUGCUGGUCUACUCAUUUGUACUCAUUUAGAUAUUGAUGUAAUAUGUCAUGUGAAGUAUCCGAAACAAUAAAAGGGAAACAGAGUGACUUAUGGU
ensembl:lncRNA